rnacentral:misc_RNA from 1 species
AUCUUUUCUUUCUAAUGUUUUUACUUGUACCAUUUUGGUGUUUCUUUAGAUUUGAUCCAAGACUUUCGCCAAUAGGAGUGAUAAAGUAUCUUUUAUUUGAAAAAGAUGUUGGUAGAUAUUUAUUUAUUUGGGUGGUGAUGUCUCCUUUUGUUUAGAGUAAAGCUAAGAAAUCAAGUAAUGGAAGAAUGUAGUAUGUGUUAAUAGUAUUUCAACUGGUAAUCAUUUGAGUUUUGCAAAGACUGAGUAAUGGGAGUGGUUUGAUGGAGUUUCUAUCAAGUACUUUGUUAUAGUGUUAUGAUCUUAAUGAUUGCAAAUUGUGAUUGUAUUCAAUAAGCGAAAGUUUUUCUG